CCUACGGGUGGCAGCAGUGGGGAAUAUUGCGCAAUGGGCGAAAGCCUGACGCAGCGACGCCGCGUGAGGGAUGAAGGUCUUCGGAUCGUAAACCUCUGUCAGCAGGGAAGAACGGUCACUGUGCUAAUCAGCAGUGAAUUGACGGUACCUGCAAAGGAAGCACCGGCGAACUCCGUGCCAGCAGCCGCGGUAAUACGGAGGGUGCGAGCGUUAAUCGGAAUUACUGGGCGUAAAGCGCUCGUAGGCGGUAUGACAAGUCAAGGGUGAAAUCCCCGCGCUCAACGUGGGAACUGCCUUUGAAACUGGCAGACUGGAGUGUGUGAGAGGAUAGUGGAAUGCCAGGUGUAGGAGUGAAAUCCGUAGAUAUCUUGAGGAACAUCAGUGGCGAAGGCGACUAUCUGGCACAUAACUGACGCUGAGGAGCGAAAGCGUGGGUAGCAAACAGGAUUAGAUACCCGGGUAGUC
rnacentral:rRNA from 1 species